CUACGGGGCGCUGCAGUGAGGAAUAUUGCACAAUGGGGGGAACCCUGAUGCAGCAACGCCGCGUGGAGGAUGGCGCAUUUCGGUGUGUAAACUCCUUUUAUAUGUCAAGAAAAUGACGGUAGCAUAUGAAUAAGCACCGGCUAACUCCGUGCCAGCAGCCGCGGUAAUACGGAGGGUGCAAGCGUCACUCGGAAUCACUGGGCGUAAAGGACGCGUAGGCGGGUUGGAAAGUCAGGUGUGAAAUCCUACAGCUUAACUGUAGAACUGCACUUGAAACUUCUAAUCUAGAGUAUGGGAGGGGGAGAUGGAAUUAGUGGUGUAGGGGUAAAAUCCGUAGAUAUCACUAGGAAUACCUAAAGCGAAGGCGAUCUCCUGGAACAUUACUGACGCUAAGGCGUGAAAGCGUGGGGAGCAAACAGGAUUAGAUACCCCGGUAGUC
rnacentral:rRNA from 1 species